CAGCAGCCGCGGUAAUACAGAGGGUGCGAGCGUUAAUCGGAUUUACUGGGCGUAAAGCGUGCGUAGGCGGCUUCUUAAGUCGGAUGUGAAAUCCCUGAGCUUAACUUAGGAAUUGCAUUCGAUACUGGGAAGCUAGAGUAUGGGAGAGGAUGGUAGAAUUUCAGGUGUAGCGGUGAAAUGCGUAGAGAUCUGGAGGAAUACCGAUGGCGAAGGCAGCCAUCUGGCCUAAUACUGACGCUGAGGUACGAAAGCAUGGGGAGCAAACAGGAUUAGAUACCCCCGUAGUCCCUGUCUCUUAUAC
rnacentral:rRNA from 1 species